AGGAGAUUUCAAAGAGGGCUUGUGGGGCUGUGAAACCAGGAGCUUUUAAUGUAGUGACGAAAGAUUGAAGUUCUGUACAGGAUGCUAUAGUCACACAGUAGUGUUCUUUUCUUGAGGAGAUAUGUCA